GUUUUGAGAUGGCCAAGGACUUGGUAGGUGACAGGGGAUGUCUUUCCAAUCACAAGGAAUGUGCUAAAGUUAACAGAGACUGCGAUCAAGCAGGAGAGGGCAAUGAAAACCUGUAAUUAUAAAAAUGUAUCAGGUAUGGCACCCCACACAUCAGAACAGCAGUAAAUACAUUAUCAAAGAAGGGUUUAUAAUAUCAGGUAUGGGACCCCACACAUCAGAACAGCAGUAAAUACAUUAUCAAAGAAGGGUUUAUAAUGUUACCAGCACUUGUGGUGUAUAUCUGAAGGCAAAUACAUUUUGCUGAGUCAAAAACUUAUCCAGAA
rnacentral:lncRNA from 1 species